GUGGGGAAUCUUGCGCAAUGGACGAAAGCCUGACGCAGCCAUGCCGCGUGAAUGAUGAAGGUCUUAGGAUUGUAAAAUUCUUUCACCGGGGACGAUAAUGACGGUACCCGGAGAAGAAGCCCCGGCUAACUUCGUGCCAGCAGCCGCGGUAAUACGAAGGGGGCUAGCGUUGCUCGGAAUUACUGGGCGUAAAGGGCGCGUAGGCGGACAGUUUAGUCAGAGGUGAAAGCCCAGGGCUCAACCUUGGAAUUGCCUUUGAUACUGGCUGUCUUGAGUACGGGAGAGGUGAGUGGAACUCCUAGUGUAGAGGUGAAAUUCGUAGAUAUUCGGAAGAACACCAGUGGCGAAGGCGACUCACUGGCCCGUUACUGACGCUGAGGUGCGAAAGCGUGGGGAGCAAACAGGAUUAGAAACCCGGGUAGUCC
rnacentral:rRNA from 1 species